rnacentral:rRNA from 1 species
UGGUGGAGUGAUUUGUCUGCUUAAUUGCGAUAACGAACGAGACCUUAACCUGCUAAAUAGCCAGGCUAGCUUUGGCUGGUCGCCGGCUUCUUAGAGGGACUAUCGGCUCAAGCCGAUGGAAGUUGAGCAAUAACA